UUAUUGUAACUGGUAUUUCUUUAUAGCAAAGUGAACCAGUCACCACCUUCUACAUUAGACUUGAAGUGGAUUUCUCUACUUUACCUGCUUAUCUCUCAAAAGAUAAUCCUGGUGCUAGUUUUGCAGCAUUGACUGCUGUCUUUCAUCCACCAAAUGCCAGUAAAGUUGAUAUCAGUCUCUAUCUAUCACCUUCUAUUGAGAGGAUAUUGGGUAGUGCUGCUAAUAUUAAGCUUCCCAGUUGGAACAGUGAGGACUCUUACCUCAUGGACUAUGUACCUAAUGUACACAAAAUACUCCAAGAAAAGGUCGAAGGUAUAGUACAGAACUUUGUAAGGCGUAAGGAGUACAUAGCAGCACUGUUGGGUUUAAUGGGGCAGUCAGUCCUGGAGUAUGACACAGAGAGUUACAUGAAGAUUGCUUUCCUUUUUGAGUCAAAUCAAGGGUUUUGCUUCAUUGCCCAUUUAAAUUUGAC